rnacentral:rRNA from 1 species
AGAGUUUGAUCCUGGCUCAGAUUGAACGCUGGCGGCAUGCCUUACACAUGCAAGUCGAACGGCAGCGCGGGGCAACCUGGCGGCGAGUGGCGAACGGGUGAGUAAUAUAUCGGAACGUACCCUGGAGUGGGGGAUAACGUAGCGAAAGUUACGCUAAUACCGCAUACGAUCUAAGGAUGAAAGUGGGGGAUCGCAAGACCUCAUGCUCGUGGAGCGGCCGAUAUCUGAUUAGCUAGUUGGUAGGGUAAAAGCCUACCAAGGCGACGAUCAGUAGCUGGUCUGAGAGGACGACCAGCCACACUGGGACUGAGACACGGCCCAGACUCCUACGGGAGGCAGCAGUGGGGAAUUUUGGACAAUGGGGGCAACCCUGAUCCAGCAAUGCCGCGUGUGCGAAGAAGGCCUUCGGGUUGUAAAGCACUUUUGGCGGGAACGAAACGGUGGUUUCUAAUACAGAUCACUAAUGACGGUACCCGCAGAAUAAGCACCGGCUAACUACGUGCCAGCAGCCGCGGUAAUACGUAGGGUGCAAGCGUUAAUCGGAAUUACUGGGCGUAAAGCGUGCGCAGGCGGUUAUGCAAGACAGAUGUGAAAUCCCCGGGCUUAACCUGGGCACUGCAUUUGUGACUGCAUAGCUAGAAUCUGGCAGAGGGGGGUAGAAUUCCACGUGUAGCAGUGAAAUGCGUAGAGAUGUGGAGGAACACCGAUGGCGAAGGCAGCCCCCUGGGCUAAGAUUGACGCUCAUGCACGAAAGCGUGGGGAGCAAACAGGAUUAGAUACCCUGGUAGUCCACGCCCUAAACGAUGUCUACUAGUUGUCGGGUCUUAAUUGACUUGGUAACGCAGCUAACGCGUGAAGUAGACCGCCUGGGGAGUACGGUCGCAAGAUUAAAACUCAAAGGAAUUGACGGGGACCCGCACAAGCGGUGGAUGAUGUGGAUUAAUUCGAUGCAACGCGAAAAACCUUACCUACCCUUGACAUGUCAGAAACCCCGCAGAGACGUGGGGGUGCUCGAAAGAGAAUCUGAACACAGGUGCUGCAAGGCUGUCGUCAGCUCGUGUCGUGAGAUGUUGGGUUAAGUCCCGCAACGAGCGCAACCCUUGUCAUUAGUUGCUACGCAAGAGCACUCUAAUGAGACUGCCGGUGACAAACCGGAGGAAGGUGGGGAUGACGUCAAGUCCUCAUGGCCCUUAUGGGUAGGGCUUCACACGUCAUACAAUGGUACAUACAGAGGGCCGCCAACCCGCGAGGGGGAGCUAAUCCCAGAAAGUGUAUCGUAGUCCGGAUUGGAGUCUGCAACUCGACUCCAUGAAGUUGGAAUCGCUAGUAAUCGCGGAUCAGCAUGUCGCGGUGAAUACGUUCCCGGGUCUUGUACACACCGCCCGUCACACCAUGGGAGCGGGUUUUACCAGAAGUAGGUAGCUUAACCGCAAGGAGGGCGCUUACCACGGUAGGAUUCGUGACUGGGGUGAAGUCGUAACAAGGUA